rnacentral:rRNA from 1 species
UACGUAGGGUGCAAGCGUUGUCCGGAAUUAUUGGGCGUAAAGAGCUCGUAGGCGGUUUGUUGCGUCGGCUGUGAAAUCCCGAGGCUCAACCUCGGGUCUGCAGUCGAUACGAGCAAACUAGAGUGUUGCAGGGGAGACUGGAAUUCCUGGUGUAGCGGUGAAAUGCGUAGAUAUCUGGAGGAACACCGGUGGCGAAGGCGGCAUCCUGGACCAACACUGACGCUGAGGAGCGAAAGCCAGGGGAGCAAACGGG